rnacentral:rRNA from 1 species
GAAUUGACGGGGGCCCGCACAAGCGGCGGAGCAUGCGGCUUAAUUCGAUGCAACGCGAAGAACCUUACCUAGGCUUGACAUAUACCGAAAACUCAUGGAGACAUGGGGUCCGCAAGGGCGGUAUACAGGUGGUGCAUGGUUGUCGUCAGCUCGUGUCGUGAGAUGUUGGGUUAAGUCCCGCAACGAGCGCAACCCUCGUCCUAUGUUGCCAGCGGGUAAUGCCGGGGACUCAUAGGAGACCGCCGGGGUCAACUCGGAGGAAGGUGGGGAUGACGUCAAAUCAUCAUGCCCCUUAUGUCUAGGGCUGCACGCAUGCUACAAUGGCCGGUACAAAGGGCUGCGAUACCGCAAGGUGGAGCGAAUCCCAAAAGCCGGCCUCAGUUCGGAUUGGGUCUGCAACUCGACCCAUGAAGUCGGAGUCGCUAGUAAUCGCAGAUCAGCAACGCUGCGGUGAAUACGUUC